UACGUAGGGUGCAAGCGUUGUCCGGAAUUAUUGGGCGUAAAGAGCUCGUAGGCGGCUUGUCACGUCGACUGUGAAAACCCGGGGCUCAACUCCGGGCCUGCAGUCGAUACGGGCUGGCUUGAGUGCGGUAGGGGAGACUGGAAUUCCUGGUGUAGCGGUGAAAUGCGCAGAUAUCAGGAGGAACACCGGUGGCGAAGGCGGGUCUCUGGGCCGUAACUGACGCUGAGGUGCGAAAGCGUGGGGAGCGAACAGG
rnacentral:rRNA from 1 species